rnacentral:rRNA from 1 species
GGCCGCCGGGGGGCUCACGCCCCCGGGCCCGCGCCCGCCGAAGACACCCCCGAACUCUGCCUGAAGAUUGUCGUCUGAGUGAAAAUAUAAAUUAUUUAAAACUUUCAACAACGGAUCUCUUGGUUCCGGCAUCGAUGAAGAACGCAGCGAAAUGCGAUACGUAAUGUGAAUUGCAAAUUCAGUGAAUCAUCGAGUCUUUGAACGCACAUUGCGCCCCCUGGUAUUCCGGGGGGCAUGCCUGUCCGAGCGUCAUUGCUGCCCUCAAGCCCGGCUUGUGUGUUGGGCCCCGUCCUCCGAUUCCGGGGGACGGGCCCGAAAGGCAGCGGCGGCACCGCGUCCGGUCCUCGAGCGUAUGGGGCUUUGUCACCCGCUCUGUAGGCCCGGCCGGCGCUUGCCGAUCAACCCAAAUUUUUAUCCAGGUUGACCUCGGAUCAGGUAGGGAUACCCGCUGAACUUAAGCAUAUCAUAAC